rnacentral:rRNA from 1 species
UGGUAGGGAUGAUUAUUGGGCUUAAAGCGUCCGUAGCCGGCUUAGCAAGUCUCCGGUUAAAUUCAGCGACUUAAUCGUUGAGCCGCGGGAGAUACUACUAGGCUAGGAGGCGGGAGAGGCCGACGGUAUUCUCGGGGUAGGGGUGAAAUCCUAUAAUCCCGGGAGGACCACCAGUGGCGAAG